GAGGUAUGUAUGGAUGUAUUUGGAUAUAUUUGGAUGUAUUUUCCCCCCUUUUUCCUUCAACUUAUACUUGCCCCCAAAUGCUGAUACUAUGUGGGAAUCCGUAAAGUUUCGGUAUCCCGGAUAUCAACGAGUAAAAUGCUAAAAUGGCUGAUCUUACCGUGGAGGAACUGGAGGAACAUCCACUUUGGUUGGUCUUGUCAAGCCAGCGGUUGAUCCUGUCUGAGACUCCUGAUGAGGACCCUCGAAAUUCCUGUUCCAGUCCGAGGAUUAAGAUGAUAUUCUUCUACGCCGCAAGAUCAGACCUGUGCAGCCUCGGCUAGUCUUUCCAUCUUCUCCUGGAUGGACCUGGAUGAGAUUCUUUGCACAGAACUGCGCACGUUGGACGGAACAAACAUAUUCAGCACGAUUGGAUCUGACAUCUUUAGGAAUGUAAAGCGUCGCCUUCUCUGACUCGUCCGCAUCAUCCUCCCGUACCCCCUUCUGACGCCUCAACGUCUCCACAUGCCUCAUCCUGCGCUUUUCAUCCCGGAUACGCAGCAUCUCCAUAAAGUCCAUUUGCAUAUUCUCAAUACUGGAAAAUAACAAUUAUUGACCUUUAUAAUGGAUUACAGUCAAAAAGCCUCAGAUCAGGUUCCUCCCGCUCACAACAAUGUUCGACAACAAAAAUACAGUAAACCUCGGAUAUAUCGGACUCAGAUAUAUCGGAAAUUCGCUCACAACGGACAGAUAAAAAA